GUGAUUUCCUGAGCAUGCCUAGGGAAUGACAGGCAUCUCCACAGGCAGGCUGCAUCCACCUUGGCUGGGGUGUCGUCAUUGGCUGCCUAUUAGAAAAACGACAGGACAAUGCAUACCACCGCCUGCCGACUGUAAACAUAGGGGAUAUGUGUUCACUUAGCAUGGACUUCUGGGAGGGGCCAAGGAAGGGCGGUCUGGAGUUCUAUUGAAUAGAGCAGUGUGUAUUCGGCUGCCUGCCUGCCUGCUUGCUCUCUGGCUGUGCUCCUGCUUAAAGAAAUCAGUCCUUCCUUUCCGACUUAGUCCUCGGGAAGAAGUUUCAGCCUACGAGGUAUCAUUGGAACAUUUCAAGAUCAUCAAAUCAAAUUCCACAGGGAUUGGUGAUCUACCAGAAGGCUCAGACAUCUGAUUGCUGACCUGUCCAGACGUCAUCUGGUCUCCCUGAACCUGAAAUCACACCAUGGAUGAUUUUGAACGUCGCAGAGAACUUAGAAGGCAAAAGAGGGAGGAGAUGCGACUCGAAGCAGAAAGGGACAGACCAACGUGUUAACACAAAGGGAGAACACGGGAGCAUCCUGCACCGUGCAUUUCAGCCACAGAUCACAUGGCCCCUCCGCGGGCCCGGCCCACGCCCUGACCGCCCGGCCCAGCCAGGUCUCCGUACCUCUCUGCCCCGCCGCCCCUUCCCAACUGCGGACAUGCUGGGUGGAUCCGGAUCGCAUGGAAGACGCAGCCUGGCCGCGCUCUCCAAAAUCGCCUACCAGAGGAAUGAUGAUGAUGAAGAGGAGGCAGCCCGGGAACGGCGCCGCCGAGCCCGACAGGAACGGCUGCGGCAGAAGCAGGAGGAAGAAUCCUUGGGACAGGUGACCGACCAGGUGGAGGUGAAUGCCCAGAACAGUGUGCCUGACGAGGAGGCCAAGACAACCACCACAAACACUCAAGUGGAAGGGGAUGAUGAGGCCGCGUUCCUGGAGCGCCUGGCUCGGCGAGAGGAAAGACGCCAAAAACGCCUUCAAGAGGCUCUGGAGCGGCAGAAGGAGUUCGACCCAACAGUAACAGAUGCAAGUCUGUCGCUCCCAAGCAAAAGAAUGCAAAAUGACACAGCAGAAAACGAAACUGCCGAGAAGGAAGAAAAACGUGAAAGUCGCCAAGAAAGAUACGAGAUAGAGGAAACAGAAACAGUCACCAAGUCCUACCAGAAGAAUGAUUGGAGGGAUGCUGAAGAAAACAAGAAAGAAGACAAGGAAAAGGAGGAGGAGGAAGAAGAGAAGCCAAAGCGAGGGAGCAUUGGAGAAAAUCAGGUAGAGGUGAUGGUGGAAGAGAAAACAACUGAAAGCCAGGAGGAAACAGUGGUAAUGUCAUUAAAAAAUGGGCAAAUCAGUUCCGAAGAGCCUAAACAAGAGGAGGAGAGGGAACAAGGUUCAGAUGAGAUUCCCCAUCAUGAAAAGAUGGAAGAGGAAGACAAGGAAAGAGCUGAGGCAGAGAGGGUAAGGUUGGAAGCAGAAGAAAGAGAAAGAAUUAAAGCCGAGCAAGAUAAAAAGAUAGCAGAUGAACGAGCAAGAAUUGAAGCAGAAGAAAAAGCAGCUGCCCAAGAAAGAGAAAGGAGAGAGGCAGAGGAGAGGGAAAGGAUUAGGGAGGAAGAGAAAAGGGCAGCAGAGGAGAGGCAGAGGAUAAAGGAGGAAGAGAAAAGGGCAGCAGAAGAGAGGCAGAGGAUAAAGGAGGAAGAGAAAAGGGCAGCAGAGGAGAGGCAGAGGAUAAAAGAGGAAGAGAAAAGAGCAGCAGAGGAGAGGCAGAGGAUAAAGGAGGAAGAGAAAAGGGCAGCAGAGGAGAGGCAAAGGGCCAGGGCAGAGGAGGAAGAGAAAGCUAAGAUAGAAGAGCAGAAACGUAACAAGCAGCUAGAAGAGAAAAAACGUGCCAUGCAAGAGACAAAGAUAAAAGGGGAAAAGGUAGAACAGAAAAUAGAAGGGAAAUGGGUAAAUGAAAAGAAAGCGCAAGAAGAUAAACUUCAGACAGCUGUCCUAAAGAAACAGGGAGAAGAGAAGGGAGCUAAAGUGCAAGCUAAAAGAGAAAAGCUCCAAGAAGACAAGCCUACCUUCAAAAAAGAGGAGAUCAAAGAUGAAAAGAUUAAAAAGGACAAAGAACCCAAAGAAGAAGUUAAGAGCUUCAUGGAUCGAAAGAAGGGAUUUACAGAAGUUAAGUCGCAGAAUGGAGAAUUCAUGACCCACAAACUUAAACAUACUGAGAAUACUUUCAGCCGCCCUGGAGGGAGGGCCAGCGUGGACACCAAGGAGGCUGAAGGCGCCCCCCAGGUGGAAGCCGGCAAAAGGCUGGAGGAGCUUCGUCGUCGUCGCGGGGAGACCGAGAGCGAAGAGUUUGAGAAGCUCAAACAGAAGCAGCAGGAGGCGGCUUUGGAGCUAGAGGAACUCAAGAAAAAGAGGGAAGAGAGAAGGAAGGUCCUGGAGGAGGAAGAGCAGAGGAGGAAGCAGGAGGAAGCCGAUCGAAAACUCAGAGAGGAGGAAGAGAAGAGGAGGCUAAAGGAAGAAAUUGAAAGGCGAAGAGCAGAAGCUGCUGAGAAACGCCAGAAGAUGCCAGAAGAUGGCUUGUCAGACGACAAGAAACCAUUCAAGUGUUUCACUCCUAAAGGUUCAUCUCUCAAGAUAGAAGAGCGAGCAGAAUUUUUGAAUAAGUCUGUGCAGAAAAGCAGUGGUGUCAAAUCGACCCAUCAAGCAGCAGUAGUCUCCAAGAUUGACAGCAGACUGGAGCAGUAUACCAGUGCAAUUGAGGGAACAAAAAGCUCAAAACCUACAAAGCCGGCAGCCUCGGAUCUUCCUGUUCCUGCUGAAGGUGUGCGCAAUAUCAAGAGUAUGUGGGAGAAAGGGAAUGUGUUUUCAUCCCCCACUGCAGCAGGCACACCAAAUAAGGAAACUGCUGGCUUGAAGGUAGGGGUUUCUAGCCGCAUCAAUGAAUGGCUAACUAAAACCCCAGAUGGAAACAAGUCACCUGCUCCCAAACCUUCUCUGAUCUUCUGUUCCUCACUUUUUGGUCUCUGGUUGAUUGGAAACCUGCUUCUCCUGCCUUCAUUUCUCCCUCUUCUUCCGGAGUGGGUCUUUCUCUAAAAUGUAGUCUGGUCAGGACUUGAGACCAGGAGAUGUAUCCAGCAAGCGGAACCUCUGGGAAAAGCAAUCUGUGGAUAAGGUCACUUCCCCCACUAAGGUUUGAGACAGUUCAAGAAAGAACCCAAGCUCAAGACGCGGGACGAGCUCAGUUGUAGAGGGCAAAUUUGCUCUGUUUUGUAUUUAUGUUGAUUUACUAAAUUGGGUUCAUUUUCUUUUAUUUUUCAAUAUCCCAAUAAACCCAUGUAUAUUAUCACUAUAUUUAAUAAUCACAGUCUAGAGAUGUUCAUGGUAAAAGUACUGCCUUUGCACAGGAGCCUGUUUCUAAAGAAACCCAUGCUGUGAAAUAGAGACUUUUCUACUGAUCAUCGUAACUCUGUGUCUGAACAGUGAUACCAACCACAUCUGAAGUCAACAGAAGAUCCAAGUUUAAAAUUGCCUGCGGAAUGUGUGCAGUAUCUAGAAAAAUGAACCGUAGUUUUUGUUUUUUUAAAUACAGAAGUCAUGUUGUUUCUGCACUUUAUAAUAAAGCAUGGAAGAAAUUAUCUUAGUAGGCAAUUGUAACACUUUUUGAAAGUAACCCAUUUCAGAUUUGAAAUACUGCAGUAAUGGUUGUCUUAAAAAAAAAAAAAAAAAAAAAAAAGGAAAUGUACUGUUAAGGUAUUACUUUUUUUCAUGCUGAUGAUUCAUAUCUAAAUUACAUUAUUAUGUUAGCUGACAGUGGUACUGAUUUUUUAGGUUGGUUGUUUUGUGGAUUUCUUUGGUAGUGAUAGUAGCCUGAACCACAUUUUAGAUAACUCAUGUAUGUAUGUAUGUGCAUACACAUAUACAAACACACUAAUGGUAGAAUGCUUUUUUAUGUGCUAGACUAUUAUAUUUAGUAGUAUGUCAUUGUAACUAGCCAAUAUCACAGCUUUUGAAAAAUUAAAGAAUCACAAUAUUAUAUUAAUAUUUCAUAUUUGCCAAUAGAAACAUGGCAGAUAGGUAUCAAUAUGUUUUCAAUGCCUGAUGACCUAUAAGAAGAAAGUAUUGAAAAGAAGAGAGAUUAGAAGUGUCACAAGGAGUUGAAAUUUUCUAAAAGACAUAGUAUUUAGUUUAUAAUUAAAUGCAUUCUUGAAGUCCAGUGUGAAUUUUAUUAAUGUUAUCAUCUCGACCAAGCUCAAAGCCUACUUAUUAGAAACAAUGAAGUUCACAAUAGGUCAUAAGGUCUCUUCCUUUUCUAAAAUUGAAAGACAAGAAAUUUAGUGCCAAUAUUGUACAGACUGAAAUUCCAUGAGUCUCACAAAGACUACCUUUGGCUAAAUGUCUGCAAACAGAGAAGUGAGCAAAAUCCAGUGUUGAGGAGUCAUGACAGUACUUUGAUCUUUAUAUACUCUGAAACAUUUCUUUAAAUUAAACUUUUCUACAUUUAUUUGUCAUUGGUACUUGUAGUAAGUUGACAAUGUGGUGAAAUUUCAAAAUUAUAUGUAACUUCUACUAGUUUUACUUUCUCCCCCAAGUCUUUUUUAACUCAUGAUUUUUACACACACAAUCCAGAUCUUAUUAUAGCCUCUAAGUCUUUAUUCUUCACAGUAGAUAAUGAAAGAGCCCUCCAGUGUCUUGGCAAAAAUGUUCUGGUAUAGCUGGAUAUGUACAGUGGAGUUAUAUAAACUCAUACCUCAGUGGACUUAACCAAAAUUGUGUUAGUCUCAAUUCCUACCACACUGAGGAAGCCUCCCAAAUAACUAUUUUCUUAUCUGCAGUAUUCCUUCAGAAGAGCUAACCAGGGCAGGGCUGGCAUGAGAAGUGACCCCUGCGUUACAAAGUCUAUCUUCCUCAGAAGUUUGUAAAGAGCAGUUGAAUAUUCUAGCUUUAGCAAACCUAGGCCAAAGGAAGGAAAGCCAUGAAGAAUGCAGAAGUCAAACACUCAUGACAGAGUAGGCACAAGUUUACAAUAAGCUAAAUCAGAAUUUACAAAUACAAAUGUCCCAGGUAGCAUUGACUCCCAUCAUUGGAGUGAAAUGGAUCAAAGUUUGAAUUAAGGCCUAUGGUGAGGUAACAUUGCUUUGCUGUACUUUUGAACAAGAGCUUCUCCUGAUCACUGUUAUAUAUUUUUCUAGAAAAUCUAAAGUUCAGAAGAGAAUGUAUCACUGCUGACUUUUAUUCCAAUAUUUGGAUGGAGUUAGGUUUUAGGGUAGAAUUUUGUUCAGUUUGGAUUUAAUCUUUUGAAAAGUAAAUUCCUUGUUUACUGGUUUGACUAUAAUUCUCUGUUAUCUUUAUGAGGUAAAACUGCAAGCUGACUAGCAUGUUCUGUGAAUCUGCCAUUCCUAAAACUUUAUAAACACUUCAUAUUUUUCACUGAUAAUUGAUCGCUCCAAUAAACAUAUAUUGUGAAAAUGCAUCCACAAUAAAUGGAAUUCCUUCCUGCAAAA